rnacentral:misc_RNA from 1 species
UGGUACUACUACAAUAUAUUGUGCAUAUUGUUACACAACAGCCAUAUAUACACCAUACACAAUUAAGUAGAUAUGAAAGUUGUGUUUGUCUAAUAUGUAACAUACAUAUAUAUAAUAUAUGUGCAUAUACUAUUAGUGAUUAAUAGAUAACAUAAUAUUGUCCGCUUGCUUUAUACUUCAUUAAGUUUUAAUUUAACCGUUGAGAUGGCGAAGCAUCCAUGGAGGCAUCACAGAAGCACUGUUUUGUUGUUGUUGCCGCGAUGAUCCUUCUACUUCUCCAUUGUCUCCUGCAUUUGGGUAUGCUUCCCCUAUGUGAAGAUUGUUAAAGGGGUGUGGCAAAACAAACGAAGAUGAAUUGAGAUGAUCAUGACUCUGUUGCUCCCACGGAGUCUGUUGGGCCAUCUCUUUCUCCCUUUCCUUAACCUGCUUUGAAAGAUUGUUGUUUUGUUCUUGCAAUGCCUUGUCCUUCUUUUGAAGCUCAGAAAUGGAUUCAUGCAUCAAUUGGUUCUUUCUAGAUCGAAUGUGCUUAAGAGCAGAAUCGAGCUGGUGUUCCAGAUUCUGAAGCUCUUUCAUACUCAAUGUGUCCAACUCUUCUCCUGCAUAAUGCUUUUGGUUUCUUUGCAAAACCUCAAGUCUGGCCUUAAGCUUAGCAUGUUCCAAAGUCCAGCUACCCGGGGUUAUAAUAUCAGUAGCAUUAAGCUGCCUUUCAGCAUAUGAGUACCUUUCAUACCUUUCAAGAAUCCUUUCCAUGCAAGAGUCAGUAGAAUACUCAAAGAGUUUUCCUUUAGUUGAGAAAACAAUGAGUCCAACUUCAGCAUCGCAAAGCACAGAGAUCUCAUGAGCUUUUUUAAGCAAACCAGAUCGCCUCUUUGAAAAAGUAACUUGACGAUUAAUUUUGUUCUCAAUUCUCUUCAAUUGUACUCUUCCUCUACCCAUAUUAAUUUCUUCUUUCUUCUUUCUUCUUUGUGUGUGUAUAUAUAUGUAUAUUGUGUAAUGGAAAUGGAUAUUUAUGUUUAGUAAUUCUUUGUUUUUGGCAAAUGAUAAAUUAAAAAACUGUAUCGUUAUU